rnacentral:rRNA from 1 species
AACGAACGCUGGCGGCAGGCCUAACACAUGCAAGUCGAACGCUGUAGCAAUACAGAGUGGCAGACGGGUGAGUAACGCGUGGGAACGUGCCCUUUGGUUCGGAAUAACCCAGGGAAACUUGGGCUAAUACCGGAUACGUCCGUAAGGAGAAAGAUUUAUCGCCAAAGGAUCGGCCCGCGUCGGAUUAGCUAGUUGGUGAGGUAAAGGCUCACCAAGGCGACGAUCCGCAGCUGGUCUGAGAGGAUGACCAGCCACACUGGGACUGAGACACGGCCCAGACUCCUACGGGAGGCAGCAGUGGGGAAUAUUGGACAAUGGGCGAAAGCCUGAUCCAGCCAUGCCGCGUGGGUGAAGAAGGCCCUAGGGUUGUAAACCCCUUUCAGCGGGAAGAUAAUGACGGUACCCGCAGAAGAAGUCCCGGCUAACUCCGUGCCAGCCGCCG